GGACGAGGGAACUGGGCCAAAACAUUCUAUAGCGCCAGUGCUCUGAGCAGCAGCCUCUGUAGCAGCAGAGCAGGAAAAAGCCACACAGAGAAAAACAGUUUCUUCAGAAGAAGACGAAAGUCCAGAACUGCAUAAAUUUCCCGUGGCUUUUCAAGAGCUGAAGAAAGACUUCAGGCUGAGUCUCUGUGUCUGUCAGGAGGGGAAAGGGGGAAGACAGUGGAAGCCCCUGCCUCACAGGGCAGCAGGCACAGAGCAGAGGCCUUUAAAGAAGCACGGAGUGGCUAGUCAGCUCUUCAUGGCCUAGCAAAUUAGACACGCAUCCCAAAAGACAUCCAGAGCAAAUCAGAAUGCAGCCCAGUGAUUAAUCGCAGAGCUGGAUUCUGCUGCCCUCAGCCUCUGAGGAUGUCCUGUACAGAUUAACCUCCGCCACCGAGUUCUGUCUGAGGAAGUCGAUGACGAAAUGCUUCACCUAUCACAAGACUGAUCCUGGCUGUCAUGAGGCAUCACUCUGGAACUGCAAGCUUUCGUUUUCAAAGCCCUGGCAGGGCUUCAGGAGCUGUAAACCCUCCCACUGUACAAAGGAAAAACCAUAAAUUGAUGACAUCUGUUUGUGACUUUAAGCAAGGGGCAGAUUCAGGACUGUGCAAGCAACACCUGGUAACCUUCAUCUUUGCACCACAGCACUCAGCUCCCAAUUAACCCUAGAUCUACACAUCCAGCUGAGUGCCUCCAUCCAUUUCUACUGGGGAGCUGUGUGCUAUGUGUCAUUAGAAAUGAACUCUGAUCUGGAGCCGGUCCCUCUGCA